rnacentral:lncRNA from 1 species
UAAAUUCAAUUAAAGAAGAAUCCUACUAAAACUCUUCUUCUUUUUUCGUAGCUUCAUCUUUUUAAUUGAAUCUCUGAUCUUAGUUAAUGAUCUUACACUAGCAAAAAGUUUUUUCUAUACUAUCUUUCUUCUGCUAUUCUUUACAAGGGUGAGGUGAAUUUGAGCUAUUUAUAAUCUGAAGAAAUAAUUUUAACCUUUUUUUAUACUGAUUGCGUUGUUCGUAGUGACAUUUAUUACCUUCUAUUUGAACACUUCUAACACUAAAAUUCCAUUUAUAAAUUCAAUUUGAGUUGUACCUGAAACGGGAUAUUCAAUUGAAAUUUAGGCACUUUUUUUAUUUUUCGCUAGCCCUCUUUCUCCACUCUAGUCUGAAGUUUAGUAACUUUCAUCGUUGAUGAAAACCUAUACUAAUAAGACAGAUACAUUUGAGAAAAGUGUGUGUGUGAGGGGGGGGAAGGAUAUUAAUACGAUUGAGAUGAGGGAGAAUUGAUACAAUUGAGAUGAGGGAGGUUGAUACAAUUGAGAGAUGGGAGAUCAAUACAAUUGAGGUGAUAGAUGUAUUAUUCCAUCUAUCACCUCAAUUAUAUCAAUCCCCCAUUUCUCAAUUGUAUCAACCCCUCCUCAUCUCAUUUGUAUAGAUCCUCCCUCAUCUCAGUUUGCAUCAUUCUUCCUUCCACCAUUUUCAAUUGUAUUCAUUUGUCUUAUUAGUCCAGGUGUUCGUCAAUGAUGAAAACUGCUUAACUUUAGACUCUACUAGAGAAAGAAAGCUACCGCAACAUAGAAUAAGUGUGAAUUUCAAUUGGAUACCCUUUUUAUGUUUUCCAGGUGCAAUUCAAGUUGAAUUUAUAAAAUAGACUUAAGUGCGUAUUCAAAUCUAAGGAAAUAAAUGUGGCGAACAACUCAACCAGUAUAGAAAAGGUUAAAAUUGCGUAUUAGUUCAAAUGGCAUCAUUGCAAUUAGAAGUGAGGAAGCAGCAAACUCAUUACUUUCCUUUUCUCUUCCCUUGUACAAUAGGAGAACAUCUAGUUGCAAGUAUUUGGGGUGCUCCAUUGGAAAUUCCAGUAUAACCUAGGAGUUAUUUGGUCUCUAUAUAUGUUUGUCUUUUUUCCUCUUUCCAUUUUUCUUGUGUUGGCUGCGGUUUGGUUUUUACACUAGCUAAAUUCAGGACUAUGUAGGGACGAGGGGUUUCAUCUGGACACUCUUCGGUGGAAAUUUACUUUAUGUAUAUAUAGUGGAUAUUGACCUCCCUUUAGAUUCUUCAUGUGUUUACUUCUUCGUAUUUUAAACUCCAUUAACAACACUAAUUUGUGUCAAAAUGAUGGAAAGGUUAGAUCUAAUUUCGAAAUUGACAGUCCCAAUUUUGGAUCACAUUUUGUCUUUCCUUCCAGUUAAAGAUGCUGCUAGAACCAGUGUAUAGUCCAAGCAAUGGAACAAAUUCUGGCAAAACGGCAAAACCAGAAUAUUUCUAUACAGAGGUUCAAGAUGAUAGAUUUAAGAAAGUAUGUGAAUGUAGAUAGUUGGUUUAAAAUACUGGUAGCCUAUGAUAUUUACGUGCCGGCUAAUUACGACAUAUUUUACACUUUUAACUAAAGAUAAUUUUAAGUUUUCAAGCAAUCGUUGAUAUUUUUAGCGUGUUUGGUGUUGACUUUCAGGAUAUAAGUCCAAUGACAGAAAAGUGGGAAAAUUAUAUUGAAAUGAGUGUGACGGCUCUUCUAAACUGCCAAUGCUAAAACAGACUGAGUAACUUUUGACCCAUUGAUGAUGGAUCUAGCGACGACAACCUGCCAAGAGCCUAACGAAUCAUCAGACAAACCGGUAGUGCUAAGCAGAAUCUAUGUUCAAGGGGAAGCGGGUGACAAGUCAAGCGACGAACUGUCUCGUGUGCGACGAGCCGUCAGUCGAGUCAUUAGAGAGGAAGCGGAAGCCCAGAUUCGAAAUUUAUUUCCCACAUCCUUGGAGCCUAUAAAUGGCUAGUCUAGGGUUUAGAACAGGCAUCUUUUCACGCUUUAAAUAUUUUUUGUAAUGUACUUUCUCUGGGGAAUCGUUUUUUUUAGGGUGAAAAACACAUCUUCUUGAUUUUUUUCAAGGAUUGGAG